UACGAAGGGGGCUAGCGUUGUUCGGAUUUACUGGGCGUAAAGCGCACGUAGGCGGACUCUUAAGUCGGUGGUGAAAUCCUGGAGCUCAACUCCAGAACUGCCUUCGAUACUGAGAGUCUUGAGUCCGGGAGAGGUGAGUGGAACUGCGAGUGUAGGGGUGAAAUUCGUAGAUAUUCGCAAGAACACCAGUGGCGAAGGCGGCUCACUGGCCCGGUACUGACGCUGAGGUGCGAAAGCGUGGGGAGCAAACAGG
rnacentral:rRNA from 1 species